rnacentral:rRNA from 1 species
CCUACGGGAGGCAGCAGUGAGGAAUAUUGGUCAAUGGUCGGGAGACUGAACCAGCCAAGCCGCGUGGGGGAGGAAGGUACAGAGUAUCGUAAACCUCUUUUGUCAGGGAACAAAGGCGGGGACGUGUCCCCGGAUGAGUGUACCUGAAGAAAAAGCAUCGGCUAACUCCGUGCCAGCAGCCGCGGUAGUACGGGGGAUGCGAGCGUUAUCCGGAUUUAUUGGGUUUAAAGGGUGCGCAGGCGGUCUGUUAAGUCAGCGGUAAAAGCCCGGGGCGCAACCCCGGCCCGCCGUUGAAACUGGCAGUCGAGAGUGAGAGAGAGGUAUGCGGAAUGCGCGGGGUAGCGGUGAAAUGCAUAGAUAUCGCGCAGAACUCCGAUUGCGAAGGCAGCAUGCCGGCUCCACACUGACGCUGAGGCACGAAAGCGUGGGUAUCGAACAGGAUUAGAUACCCGUGUAGUC